rnacentral:lncRNA from 1 species
GUAGCAAUAGGGUUUUUGUUUCCCUUUUUUUUUUAAGAAAAAAAAUGGGGGGCCUAGAAAAAAAGCUUACAAGUCUUGUUUCAGGAAAGCAGCUGGAACAUUAAUGGCAAUUCCACUUUCCCAUUCAUCGCCCCCGCCCCCACCACCCCACCAAGAAACUCAGUGGGAAUGAAUGGUCUACACAGAGAAACUGAAAUCUGGUUAGUCAAGAAGGAAAAAACAACCAAGUGCCUGGCAUUAAGAGGAUUUUUUUUUUAAGCUCAGCCUAUGGACAACAAAAGCAUGGACUGUAUUUCUCAGCAUCUUUUGCACUUGAACAAGAUUAUUUUUUCCUUGAAAAUUGACAUGGAUGGUCUGCCACUGUGGGCUUUAUCUUCAACAUCGUCUCACCCUUCUUAUUAAUAACACAAGUUAUCCACUUGUAAACUGCUGUUUUUUUGGGGCUAUCCACUUGUAAACUGCUGUUUUUUUGGGGGCACUGUCACCAUAAACUUUUGAUAAGGCAUCAGUGAUUUCAACAUUCUUCACCCAAGCUUCACCAUAAAUUUGAUGUUUCUUUUUGCUUCAUUUUAGCAGAAUUUGUUCCAAUAGGGGCUCUUUUCGAACUGAUUUUUUUUUUCAUUUUUUUCCACUGGGAUUUUGAGAAAAUCAAACUGAUAGCCUUCUUAGUGCCUCAAACUAGAUCCUGUUCAGACACAAACAAGUU